CUUAUUGUGAAAAACCCUUUUGUCUCUGGUGGCAGUGGUGGGGGUGGCCCAGUGACUGUCAGGUGUAGGGUAAGGCACAAAUCAGCCCAAUUGUAUGAAAUAAAAUGAAUCAUUAUUCUAAAAUUUUUUUUUUUUUAAAUGAUCUAACAAUUAGUCUCAUAUAUUGGUCUCCAGUCCAGUGGAUGUGACACAGAUCUCAGUUAUUUUACAUAUGGUUUGUGAUUCUGUUUGCCACCCUUUAGUGACUGUGUUUUUUAAGCCCUUAAGGACUGAGCCAAAUGUAC